UCUCUAAAAUCAAUAAAAACAUAAAAAAAAGGGGAGCCCUUUAGUUCUCCGCUCACUGAUUCCUGCGCCGAGGCCAUGCCUGCCAUCGGCUGUGCAGCCCGCAGUCCCGGUUUUCUUUUCCUGUCGUCCCUGCCCACGGGGAUGCAGACGUUGGCGCUCUGACCAAGGUGAAGGAGAGCCGGCGGCACGUGGAGGAGGGGAAGAUGGAGGCGCAGAAGGCCGAGGGCAUCCAGGCUCGCUGCAACACCAUCUCCUUCGCCACGCUGGCCGAGAUCCACCACUUCCACCAGGUCCGCGUGCGCGACUUCAAGUCCCAGAUGCAGCACUUCCUGCAGCAGCAGAUCAUAUUUUUCCAGAAAGUGACGCAGAAGCUGGAGGAGGCUCUUCACAAGUACGACAGCGUCUAGUGCCGGGCGCGCGUGGGGCGCUCCAGUUCAAGGGUGAUUUCCGCAGCGGAGCACAGACUGCUCAGAGCUGCCGCCGCUCCCGCAGGCACAGGCCACUCUGUGCCUGCAGCCGGGCUGGCUGUGUGCUGGCGCAGGGCAGUGCCGCAUCGUAGCUAAGUUACACUAUGUACGCCUACACUACCAUGUAGCGGGGAUACGAUUAUACUCUUUGCCUUAUUGCUUUCUGGAGGAUGGGUCUUCAGUGCAGACUUGGCAGACCUCAGAGCACCGCGGGGUCUCAGGGAGCCCGGGCCAGCCUGCUCCAUGCCUUUCCCGCCCACAGACUGGGGUCCCCGAAAUUCAGCCUGUUCUCUGUUUACAAACUCCGACGAGAGCAGCUGUGCGACUUCGUGCCUUUAGACUCGGGUUUUCAUUUCCCCGCCCCCUUUAUAAAGUAACACGACUUUUUAAUCGAAAGAGCGAAAGGCCAGUGCGUCCAGGGACGGCCUGCUAGUGACUGCAAGUGGCACUGGGCGGGCGGGAGGGUCAGUUGGCACCGGCUGACGUGUGAGCGCGGCAGAGGGGCUGUGCUCCUCUGGGACUUGCGGUCCUUUGGGGAGGCGAUGGGGCACUCUGCUCCCUUAGGUGCUCCGUGUGGCCUCCCUCCCGCGUCCUGGAGGCCUGUGUGCGGGUCACACGCACCCUGCUCACCACGGAGGCAGGGGGCCGGCCCGCGGGACAAGCACAGAUUCGGUGAGGACACGCUCAGCUCUGCUUAGGAGGGUUUCUUUUCUUUCCUUUUUAGCUUGAAGAUUUCUUUUCCUGUUCAGUGUGAUUUUUUUAAAUGGAUCUACACUGUUAACCGAUCGAGACUCCACUGUGAUUCACUCACUCGUUUACUUAAUCGACCACUUUUCAGGGAUGUCUAUAAAUUUAGUGUUACACGUGAUGCAAAUAGCGUUGAUCUGAGGAGGGACCAGAAGUAAUUCUAUUCCAGAUGCUGAAAGCAAGAAGAAUUGUUAUUUUUAAGUACUGAGAAGCCCCAGGACAUUUAACAUUAAAAAUUACCGUAAAUAUAUUCUUUUAAAGAAAAUACAAAGGCUGAUGCAUACCAAAAAGAUUCCCAAGCAGCUUCAUUUAAAAAAGCAUAAAGAUUCUGGCUAGAAGCGCCUGGAUCUCCAUGUUUUUCGUCCUUGCUGAGCUCAAUAACGUGUGGGUGCGUUUAGAGAUGCGACUGUCACUGACGGUGGCGGCACCUGCUGUGUAGGAAGGAGGCGUACGCUGCCGCGGGAACCUGCUCGUCAGCGAGGAGCAGAAGCAGAGGCCAGCGUGAUGUGCUGGUGAGUCGCGCUGGUUAAGGAAGAGGCAGUUAGCGACAUAAUCACUCCACAGCGCAAUUCCUCUUGAGAGGAAUCUCACAUGGGCAGGGUUUUUAAGAUCGGGGUCUCAUGACUUAUCGGCACUGUAUUCCUUAGGUUGUCUCCUGGGACGUGGGGCUGUGACCAAAUACAUUGUUCUCUCAGGAGUGACUUCCGCUCAUUGAUGGCAAAAUACAGUUUGAUAAGCAAAACCCAUGUGUGUAUAAAUGUUAAUUUUAUGGCAGAAGUUUGGAGAUUAUAAUUCUAGCAUU